rnacentral:miRNA from 1 species
AGACAUCAAUUAAAUCUGUGCU